rnacentral:rRNA from 1 species
UAACGCAUCAGACCUCUAAUCGGAAAAGACUACCCGCCGAGUUUAA